UCAAGUAAGUAAGGGCGUACGGCGGAUGCCUUGGCCAUAUCAGCCGAAGAAGGACGCGAUAAGCUGCGAUAAGCUGCGGUGAGGUGCAAGUAACCUUUGACCCGCAGAUCUCCGAAUGGGGAAACCCGGCAGCAGUAGUGCUGUCAUCCUCUAUGAGGAAGGGCACCCGGUGAACUGAAACAUCUAAGUAGCCGGAGGAAAAGGAAUCAACAGAGAUACCCCUAGUAGCGGCGAGCGAACGGGGCAGAGCCCAAACCGGAAUGGGAAACCAAUCCGGGGUUGUGGACUGCUAUCAAAUGCAUGAGUGAAGCAGAAUGAGCUGGGAAGCUCAGCCAGAGAGAGUGAGAGCCUCGUAGGCGUAAGCAAGUGCAUGGAGCAGGAUCCAGAGUACCACGGGACACGAGAAACCCUGUGGGAAGCUGGGGGGACCACCCUCCAAGGCGAAACACUGAUAUGGACCGAUAGCGCAUAGUACCGUGAGGGAAAGGUGAAAAGAACCCCGGGAGGGGAAUGAAAGAGAACCUGAAACCGUAUGUCUACAAGCAGUCGAAGACCUUUAUAUGGUCGACGGCGUGCCUAUUGAAGAAUGAACCGGCGAGUUACUUCAGCUAGCGAGGUUAAGCGGAAAACGUGGAGCCGAAGCGAAAGCGAGUCUGAACAGGGCGUAUAGUUAGUUGGAGUAGACCCGAAACCACAGUGAUCUACCCAUGUCCAGGUUGAAGCACAGGUAAAAAUGUGUGGAGGACCGAACCAGUGAGCGUUGAAAAGCUUUUGGAUGAGAUGUGGGUAGGGGUGAAAUGCCAAUCGAACGUGGAGAUAGCUGGUUCUCCCCGAAAUAGCUUUAGGGCUAGCCUCAUGGCGAGAGUACAGGCGGUAGAGCACUGAACGGGGUAGGGGCCUAUCCGGCUACUGAACCUAAUCAAACUGCGAAUGGCUGUACUUAUCCAUGGGAGUCAGACUGUGAGUAAUAAGGCCCAUAGUCAAGAGGGAAACAGCCCAGACCAACAGCUAAGGUCCCCAAUGCCGUACUAAGUGGCGAAGGAUGUGGAAUUUCGAAAACAACCAGGAUGUUGGCUCAGAAGCAGCCACCAUUAAAAGAGUGCGUAAUAGCUCACUGGUCGAGAGACUCUGCGCCGAAGAUGUCCGGGGCUAAAGUACGGAACCGAAGCUUUGGCAAUUGACAUUAGUCAAUUGGGUAGGGGAGCGUUCCUGCAUGGGAGAAGCCUGACCGGAAGGACAGGUGGACAGGCAGGAAGAGAGAAUGCCGGUAUGAGUAGCGAAAAGAAGGGUGAGAAUCCCUUCCACCGAAAGCCUAAGGGUUCCUGGGCAACGAUCGUCGUCCCAGGGUAAGUCGGGACCUAAUCCGAGGCGGAGACGCGUAGGAGAUGGACAACAGGUUGAAAUUCCUGUACUGGCUGAGGCCGUUUGAGCGAAGGAGUGACACAGGAAGGAAGGCGCGCGUGCGAUUGGAAGAGCACGUCCAAGCAGGUAGGUUGGGAGACAGGCAAAUCCGUUUCCCGUGAGGCCGAGAUGCGAUGGGGAGCUUCUGGAGACAGAAGCGAAGGGGCUGGCACUAAACUGUCGAGAAAAGCUUCUAGUGAGGACUCAGGCACCCGUACCGAAACCGACACAGGUAGGCAGGAUGAGAAUUCUAAGGUGCGCGGGAAAACCCUCGUUAAGGAACUCGGCAAAAUAUAUCCGUAACUUCGGGAAAAGGAUAACCCAGCGUACGUGAAGUGCAGAAACGCACGGAGCGGAGAUGGGUGGCAGAAGAGAGGCCCAAGCGACUGUUUACCACAAACACAGGCGUCUGCUAAAGCGAAAGCUGAUGUAUAGAUGCUGACACCUGCCCGGUGCUGGAAGGUUAAGAGGAAGUGUUAGCGCAAGCGAAGCAGUGAAUUGAAGCCCCAGUAAACGGCGGCCGUAACUAUAACGGUCCUAAGGUAGCGAAAUUCCUUGUCGGGUAAGUUCC
rnacentral:rRNA from 1 species